UGGCCUCCAUUCGACACUUCCCUCCCUCCCUAUUUACUUUUUGCGCGGCCCUAUUGUGCCUCAAUGCAUGUGUCGGUGAAGUGAUUGCGCAGCUUCCUCGUGACGGGCACUGGCCCCUGCCCCCCUUUUCCCGAUGGACCUCUCGCGUGGACGAGCCUCCGAACGAGUAUCAGUAGGCCGUUGGCUGUUUACGUGCGUUGCUUGGCUUACACGUUGGCUCGUGAUUUUUUUUUGUUACUGUUGCUAGUUUUUUCCUGUAAAUUAGUCCUCAGUGUUUCUGUUAUGUCUCUUCCAGAAUCUCUUUUUGGGUUCCAUCGUGCCGUCGAGUCUCGAAAAAACUGGUUAGAAGAUCAACCAUCAAAAAGUCCACGAUUGAAUAACACCUCGUGCAAGAUGCAAAUGGACCAUCACACUUCUAUCGACGGACAAAAGAGGGACGGAGGAGAGGGAAAUGGACCAGAGCAUACGUGACUGGAGUCACGCGGUGGACAAAACAUCCUUCGCGAAAGGGUGUGGAUGGAGGAUUGGGAAUAAUUGGAGAUGAAAGGGGCUGCUGGUUCUUGCGUCCCGGUUUGCAGGGUGUUUUCCUCGGUUCUCGGGCGAUCGCGUCGUUGAACCCCAAAGAGUGCAGUGAAUUGGACAACGUCACGGGGUGUUAUGUGGAAAACUGUUUUGCAACCGAGAAGCUGUUGACGCUCUUGGUCUUAUUUCUGUACAAACUGAGAUGUCCGAACGAGGAGAUGCUCCUCCUUGGGAGACGUAAAGGGAAAGUAGCAAAAGUUUGCGGAUGAAAGUUGCAUCCGGGAGUCGUUGAAGAAACACAUUUGAGGUUUGUACGUGCGUGGAAACGCGGAAACUUGGAAACAGCGAUUUGUCGUUGCACAUGUGGAUGGACGGAAGGGACUAACUGUACUUAGGAAGGAUAUUAUCAACAAUGUGCACUGUAUUGGAUGGAAAAAGUUUGUGGUCCGGAAUUGCCUGUUUUUUUGCGACUAAGGACAAUUGAAAUGAUAUUGUUCGUAAUGAGGUUUCACAAAAUCUUGGUCUUUUGUUUUAUAUCGAACAAUCAAGACAGGACCAAAUAUAUUAGUUCCAUCGUAGGGAACUGAAACACUAGCUGCGGUCAUGACUAGAACUGCUAUAAUUCAUUUGAACAAGAUAAAAAUGUGUGGGUUGAGAUGAAUAUCUAAAUUGUUUAUUCAAGUUAUGUUCCGCAUUGAUUGGCUGAUGGAAUUCAAGAGAUGCAAAAUUUUUGGAUGUAUGAAUAUUUGGAUGAUAAAAAUGAAAAGUGGAAAUGCAUGAAUUUAGUUCUCGGAAUUACAUCUCGCGUGAGAGGAUAGUGCAGGUUAUAUGAGAUUUUGUUCGGAAUUGUUUGAAUUAUUCCAUAAGCAUAGAUAUGGAUGUAAAUUUUAGUAUAUACUAUCGUGGACUACAGCGUCAAUU